rnacentral:rRNA from 1 species
UGGGGGAUAUUGCACAAUGGGCGAAAGCCUGAUGCAGCGACGCCGCGUGGGGGAUGAAGGCCUUCGGGUUGUAAACUUCUUUUGCUCUGAACAAGGCAUGCUAAUGGGUGUGUUGAGUGUAGGGGUUGAUUAGCGCCGGCUAACUACGUGCCAGCAGCCGCGGUAAUACGUAGGGCGCGAGCGUUGUCCGGAAUUAUUGGGCGUAAAGGGCUUGUAGGUGGCUGGUUGCGUCUGUCGUGAAAGCUCAUGGCUUAACUGUGGGUUGGCGGUGGGUACGGGCUGGCUUGAUUGCAGUAGAGGAGGCUGGAAUUCCUAGUGUAGCGGUGGAAUGCGCAGAUAUCAGGAGGAAUACCGGUGGCGAAGGCGGGUCUCUGGGCUGUUACUGACACUGAGGAGCGAAAGCAUGGGGAGCGAACAGG